ACAAAAAGACAUCCUGGAGCAAAAAUGCACAGAAGAGGACAACAUGGGGGCAUCCAUGUACUGGCGAAAACUAGAAGCCCUGACAAGCUCAUCUCUUGCAGACCUCUUUGGAAACCAAGCCUCCUAACAUGUAAGAAUUGGAUGAGGAGCAUAAAUUUGCACAGCGGGCAGUGCAGUGAAAACAGCUCAUAAUCAACUCAUCACCUCUCAUCAUUGCUGGGAUCCAAUGCAAAUGGGAAAGAAUGCCACUUCAGUCACUGCUAGUGAAAAUUAGCAUCUGUGACACUAAUGGUGUCUCAUUUUGUAUGCACUUUAGAUUAAAAAGAACCUUUUUAAAAAAGCUA